UGGGGAAUAUUGCACAAUGGGCGCAAGCCUGAUGCAGCCAUGCCGCGUGUGUGAAGAAGGCCUUCGGGUUGUAAAGCACUUUCAGCGAGGAGGAAGGUGGUGAGCUUAAUACGCUCAUCAAUUGACGUUACUCGCAGAAGAAGCACCGGCUAACUCCGUGCCAGCAGCCGCGGUAAUACGGAGGGUGCAAGCGUUAAUCGGAAUUACUGGGCGUAAAGCGCACGCAGGCGGUUUGUUAAGUCAGAUGUGAAAUCCCCGGGCUCAACCUGGGAACUGCAUUUGAAACUGGCAAGCUAGAGUCUCGUAGAGGGGGGUAGAAUUCCAGGUGUAGCGGUGAAAUGCGUAGAGAUCUGGAGGAAUACCGGUGGCGAAGGCGGCCCCCCUGGACGAAGACUGACGCUCAGGUGCGAAAGCGUGGGGCAGCAAACAGGAUUAGAUACCCCUGGUAGUCCACGCUGUAAACGAUGUCGAUUUUGGAGGUUGUGCCCUUGAGGCGUGGCUUCCGGAGCUAACGCGUUAAAUCGA
rnacentral:rRNA from 1 species